UAUGUUACUUGUCCCCAGAAGGGCAACAGGGGACAACAUACUGUAGUUGUGCCAAACAGCCCUGAAAUGAAGGCAAUCUCAUAAAUUCAUAGGGUUGGAUUUAGGAAAUCUUAAGUGAAAUAUUUUUCUUUGCUUUUCAAUACAGAUGGAUUUGGUGCUUAUGGAAGCAGCAUUGGUUCUGACAGUGGAAGCUUUUUUCCCUUCAAUACUUUCAAUAUAAAAGGCUCCAUGCAAGACAAAUGGUAGGAGGACAUCAAACAAGACUGUGUCCAUGCAGUGACAGAAGCAAUCCAAUUGAAGAAGCUGUUGAUUUCCGCAAGAUCCUAUCUGCAAUGAGAGAUGAAAGAGGUCUUGCAAGGAUACCCAGAUCCUCCUGCAGCAUGUGCUGUGCUUGACUCUGGCAAGUAAGGAACAAGAUGAAGCGGAGUUAAUAACUUUUCAGAUCUCUGCUGAACCAAGCAAGAGCAGAGAUAAGAUACUGAAUAUAUUUCUUGAAAGAAUCAACAGCUUCAUGCUCCUCCUAAAAGAAAGUCAGCGAUGGUCCCCAGCCCAAAAGCUUCGAUUCAAAGAAGGCACACUUUGGAGAGGUGCUGCUGUCCUUGUUCUGUAUACAGGAACCUUAUCUGUGGAUAGAUAAGAGGUGUGCUGAUCUCCAUGGGUAUCGAGGUACCUAAUUCUCUCUUGCACUGACAAAUUUUGCAAUAUCAGCUGCUAAUGACGGCUUUUACCAAACUUGAGCUACUUGGUUGAAGUGGCCAUGUUGGUUGUACACUCCCAGAAUAAUCAGUGUACUGAGUCACCUCCACCAGGUGAUUGCACGUGGGACAUGGCUGAGCAGAGAGGAGCCUGGCUUACUGUGCUGGUGUCAGUUGGGAAAGUUCAGGCCUAAAUUAGUCCUCUAAGGACUUCACCGAAGAUGAGGCAGUUUGUAGCAAAGAGAAGGAAUAUCAACCCCAAGCCUCUUGUUUCUUAACUUUCAGCAAGUUAACUCCUUAUUUCAUAUGGCUUUAUGUAAGUUUCCCUAAAGUUUUCUGAACGUACUGAUGCCAUGAGCAGUGUCUGAAUGUCAGUAUUUUGAUUACUGGUAAUAUUCAUAUGUUUCAAUAAAUUAAUUUAGCUAAGAAUAAAAAUACCUUUUUAUACAAGAUCUCCCAGGUUUUGGCAAUGUAUUGAUUUUAUGUACUUAGUUCAGUGAAAAAUCUGUUGGUUUAAGCUAUCUGCCAUUAGUUUCAAUUAAAAUAUAUUGAUCUGAGUAAAUGUUGGUUAGUAAGUGUUGCCUGACUGUGAAAAAAUAUUUGCUUAAGCAAAACUUGUAUGAGUAUUUAGACAUG